rnacentral:rRNA from 1 species
AUACGGAGGGUGCAAGCGUUAAUCGGAAUUACUGGGCGUAAAGCGCACGCAGGCGGUUUGUUAAGUCAGAUGUGAAAUCCCCGGGCUCAACCUGGGAACUGCAUCUGAUACUGGCAAGCUUGAGGCUCGUAGAGGGGGGUAGAAUUUCAGGUGUAGCGGUGAAAUGCGUAGAGAUCUGGAGGAAUACCGGUGGCGAAGGGGGCCCCCUGGACGAAGACUGACGCUCAGGUGCGAAAGCGUGGGGAGCAAACAGGAUUAGAUACCCUGGUAGUCCACGCCGUAAACGAUGUCGACUUGGAGGUUGUGCCCUUGAGGCGUGGCUUCCGGAGCUAACGCGUUAAGUCGACCGCCUGGGGAGUACGGCCGCAAGGUUAAAACUCAAAUGAAUUGACGGGG